rnacentral:rRNA from 1 species
UACGAAGGGGGCUAGCGUUGCUCGGAAUUACUGGGCGUAAAGCGUGCGCAGACGGUUGCGUAAGUCAGAUGUGAAAGCCCCGGGCUCAACCUGGGAAUUGCAUUUGAGACUGCGUAGCUAGGGUGCGGAAGAGGGAAGCGGAAUUUCCGGUGUAGCGGUGAAAUGCGUAGAUAUCGGAAGGAACACCAGUGGCGAAAGCGGCUCCUGGUCCAGCACCGACGUCAGGCACGAAAGCGUGGGGAGCAAACAGG